UACAGAGGGUGCGAGCGUUGUUCGGAAUUACUGGGCGUAAAGGGCUCGUAGGCGGCCAACUAAGUCAGACGUGAAAUCCCCAGGCUCAACCUGGGAACUGCGUCUGAUACUGGAUGGCUUGAAUUCGGGAGAGGGAUGCAGAAUUCCAGGUGUAGCGGUGAAAUGCGUAGAUAUCUGGAGGAAUACCGGUGGCGAAGGCGGCAUCCUGGACCGACAUUGACGCUGAGGAGCGAAAGCUAGGGGAGCAAACGGG
rnacentral:rRNA from 1 species